rnacentral:rRNA from 1 species
CCGGUGGCUGCAGUGGGGAAUAUUGGGCAAUGGGCGCAAGCCUGACCCAGCAACGCCGCGUGAAGGAAGAAGGCUUUCGGGUUGUAAACUUCUUUUGUCAGGGAAGAGUAGAAGACGGUACCUGACGAAUAAGCCACGGCUAACUACGUGCCAGCAGCCGCGGUAAUACGUAGGUGGCAAGCGUUAUCCGGAUUUACUGGGUGUAAAGGGCGUGUAGGCGGGGACGCAAGUCAGAUGUGAAAACCACGGGCUCAACCUGUGGCCUGCAUUUGAAACUGUGUUUCUUGAGUACUGGAGAGGCAGACGGAAUUCCUAGUGUAGCGGUGAAAUGCGUAGAUAUUAGGAGGAACACCAGUGGCGAAGGCGGUCUGCUGGACAGCAACUGACGCUGAGGCGCGAAAGCGUGGGGAGCAAACAGGAUUAGAUACCCUAGUAGUC